GAUCCUGGCUCAGAAUCAACGCUGGCGGCGUGCCUCAGACAUGCAAGUCGAACGAUUAAGACUUCCUUCGGGAAGUGUAUAAAGUGGCGCACGGGUGAGUAACACGUAAGUAAUCUACCUUCGAGUGGGGAAUAACCCGGGGAAACCCGAGCUAAUACCGCAUAACGCAGCGGCAUCGCAAGAUGACAGUUGUUAAAGGAAUUUAUUUCGCUUGAAGAGGAGCUUGCGGCAGAUUAGCUAGUUGGUAAGGUAACGGCUUACCAAGGCUACGAUCUGUAUCCGGUCUAAGAGGACGGUCGGACACACUGACACUGAAUAACGGGUCAGACUCCUACGGGAGGCAGCAGUCGGGAAUUUUGGGCAAUGGGCGAAAGCCUGACCCAGCAACGCCGCGUGAAGGAUGAAGUAUUUCGGUAUGUAAACUUCGAAAGAAUAGGAAGAAUAAAUGACGGUACUAUUUAUAAGCUCCGGCUAACUACGUGCCAGCAGCCGCGGUAAUACGUAGGGAGCAAGCGUUGUUCGGAUUUACUGGGCGUAAAGGGCGCGUAGGCGGCGCGGUAAGUCACUUGUGAAAUCUCUGAGCUUAACUCAGAACGGCCAAGUGAUACUGCAGUGCUAGAGUGCAGAAGGGGCAAUCGGAAUUCUUGGUGUAGCGGUGAAAUGCGUAGAUAUCAAGAGGAACACCUGAGGUGAAGACGGGUUGCUGGGCUGACACUGACGCUGAGGCGCGAAAGCCAGGGGAGCAAACG
rnacentral:rRNA from 1 species